AACUGGAGAUGUAACGACUUCCUUUUUUGUCUUGGAAGAUUCCUAAAUGUCAUUGAGAGACCCAAGACGUCUCAAUCUCACUUAAUGCAAACGGAAAACCAAGGGUUUUUAAAGGUGAAAUGGAUCUUGCUAAUGAAGAAGUAUCACUCUUCGUGGGGCAUGCAGCUUGUUAGUUCAAGUUAGAAUUCUGGGCAGUAGGCGUGUGCCAAGCUGCAAGACUUUUUCUCCUCCUAAAUGAAUCGUGCAGUAAAUUGGGCAUUUGGAUCUUUCCCUUGUGAAGCUAUCUCACAAGUAAUACAUUCAUGGUAAGAAGGACUUUGAAGUCAG
rnacentral:lncRNA from 1 species